UGGGGAAUAUUGGACAAUGGGCGAAAGCCUGAUCCAGCCAUGCCGCGUGAGUGACGAAGGUCUUCGGAUUGUAAAGCUCUUUUGGCGGGGACGAUAAUGACGGUACCCGCAGAAUAAGCCCCGGCUAACUUCGUGCCAGCAGCCGCGGUAAUACGAAGGGGGCUAGCGUUGUUCGGAAUUACUGGGCGUAAAGCGCACGUAGGCGGAUUGUUAAGUCAGGGGUGAAAUCCCGGGGUUCAACCUCGGAACUGCCUUUGAUACUGGCAAUCUCGAGUCCGGAAGAGGUGAGUGGAAUUCCUAGUGUAGAGGUGAAAUUCGUAGAUAUUAGGAAGAACACCAGUGGCGAAGGCGGCUCACUGGUCCGGUACUGACGCUGAGGUGCGAAAGCGUGGGGAGCAAACA
rnacentral:rRNA from 1 species